UUAGAAUAAUUAAUACAUCUAUCACCUUAAAAUUUUGUCAAUUUUUUUAUGGUAAAAUUUUUCAAAAUGAAAGGGGCAAUAUUUUAAAAGGUUUUCAAAUUAUCGUGCCACAAAAGACCAUCUCAUCUUAUCGUAAGAUUGUUCUUUUCUGUUGGUCAAGCCCCUCCUUACUUUCCUCUCACCUCCCCUGUCUCUUGUAAGCAUCAUUGUAAGUUCCUCCUGAGGUCCGCUUAUAUAGAAUCUACAUGAGUAACAUUAUGUGCUAUUGCACAAGGCUUUCCUAGUAGCAUAGUAUUCCAUCUUGCCAUCCAGCACAUUGUCCACUCAUCUGUUGGUGGACGUUUAAGUACAUCAUAUGUAAAUGUUAACAGUCCCGUGAUGACCACAGAGAACAGAGGUCUCUUCCAUGAGAUGGUUUUGUUUCCUUUAGUACAUAUUAGGAGUGAGAUUGGCAGUUCUAUUCUUAGCUUUUUGAGGAAUUUUUCCACUGUCUUCUGCUGUGGAUGAUUUAUUGAUAAAUAAAAUGCUGAUUGGCCAGUAGCCAGGCAGGAAGUAUAGGUGGGACAAGGAGAGAAGAGAAUUUUGUGGAGUGGAAGGCUGAGGCAGAGAGAUGCUGCCGGGUGCCUCCAUGACAAGCAACAUGUAAAGUACUGGUAAACCACGAGCCAUGUGACAUGGUGUAGAUUAAUAGAAAUGGGUUAAGAUAUAAGAACUAGAUAACAAGAAGCCUGCCACGGCCAUACAGUUUAUAAGUAAUAUAAGUCUCUGUGUGUUUACUUGGCUGCGGGACUGGCGGGUGAGAGAGAUUUGUCCUGACCCUGGGCCAGGCAGGACCAGGGAAACUUCAGCUACAGUCUUCCAUAAUGAGUGCACUAACAGGUAUUUUCCUGAUUAACUGUGCAUAAGAGUUUCCUUUGCAGUCUUCCAAAUAUUAAGUACUUGUGUAUCUGUGUGUGUGUGUGUGUGUGUGUGUGUGUGUGUGUGUGUGUGUAUGUGUGUGUGUUUGAUUUUGGAGUAAUUGUCUUUCUAGCUAGGGAGAGGGCAUGUCCAUUGUGGUUCUGAUGUGCAAUUUCUUGAUGGUUACUGAUGUCAAGAAGGUUUUCAUGCCUGUGGUGGCCAUCUGUGAGUCUAAGUCUUUUUCUUCAGUUGUGCUGGUUAUCUGUAAGCCCUUCUGCGACUUGCCCCUCAAUUUGUUAGCCAUCUGAGUCUUCCAGGGUCUCCUCACUUCCUCAGUUCACAGAACCACUGGAACUGAGGACUUUUGGACUGUAAAAAUCAGAUUAUCUUAGAUCUUUAUAAACUAGAAUAUUAAAUCCUUAUCAGAUGUGUAGUCCACAUCUUUUUUUCUCCAUCUGAAUGUUGUGUUUUAGGGUUUUUUCCAAUAGUUGUUUCCUUUGCAGUGGAGAAGUACUUAGUACUAUAGUUUCACUUGUCAAUCUUGAUUUCCAUCCUUCUGGAGCCAUAGCAAAAACGUCCUUACCUAGCUGGGCGGCAGUGGCACACACCUUUAAUCCUAGCACUUGGGAGGCAGAGCCAGGCAGAUCUUUGUUAGUUCGAGGCCAGCCUGCUCUACAGAGUGAGUUCCAGGACAGGCACCAAAACUACACUGAGAAACCCUGUCUUGAAAAACAAAACAAAAAAAAAACAAAAAAAAGUCUUUAUCUGGGUAAUGUCCUGAAGGGUUUCUUAAAAGAGUUUAACAUUUGUAGAUUUAUUUUUAUUUGUAGCUUGUAAGAGAUAGGAGCUUGUAAGAGAUAGGAGCCUAAUUAUAUUCUUCUGCAUAAUGAUAGCAGAUUUUUGGAGCAUUGUUUAUUGAGAGGUAAUUUAUUUUAUUUUUCAAUGUGCAUUCUUGCCUCCUUUGUUAAAAUUCCCAUGGUUAAGAAUGAGGUUGAAUCUCAGUGCCAGAGAGCCUGUCAAACAUGUAUACAGUAGCCAAGUUCAGUCUUCAACACUGCUUCACACACACACACACACACACACACACACACACACACACACACAUUAGCAUAAAUGUGUAAAGUUACUUUUGGAUUCCGUAUUCUGUCCUGCUUUUCAGUGUCUAUUUUUCUGCCAAUUGUUUGUUAUUUGAGUUUGAAGUCAGGUGAUGUAAUGAUUCCCAUUUUCUGUUUCACUUAUUUCUGGGAUUUUUUCUUUUUCAAGUUGAAUGCUCACAGUGUCUAAAUGUAGUAUGGAAAUUAUGUGGAUUCAUGUCCUGUGCCACUGCUGAUUUUCCUUUAAAAACAUUUGAGGGCAUUGUUAGCACCCAGAAGCACAUAUUUCAGAAGCUACAGAGAAUAUAGAUUGUGAUAGCAAAAAUUCAAAGUGAGAAGAUAGAGGUAAAAUGAACCAUUUUAUUUUCCCUUAAGCCAGAAUUACUUGAUUAUGAUAAGUUGUUAUUAUUACAAGGUAUUUUUAGUAAGCUUUUAGGUCAACACAAGGUAAAACAUAUAAUAUACAUACCAAAAAUAAAAAUUAAACACAAAGAAUCAUGUGCACCAGAAUGAAAAUCAGUGAACAACAAGGAAGACACUGUAGAGAAGACAGAAAAGAACACCCUGCAAGACAAACAGGAGAAAAGUAGCACCAUCCGGGUGCUAAGUCCUCAACAGACAGAAUUCCUUUAACGUAAACAGUAUACAUUUUCUGAAUGAGUGGCAUGCAGCAAAGGAGUUGGUAGAAAUGGAAGAUUCAGUGUAUGUAGUCUAGGAAGAUAACUUUACCCGAAGGAACGAGGCUGAAAGACCAUGAAUGACAAAGGACAUUCUGUGCCAAUGGAAACAAAAUGAGAACAGGAAGAAAUGCAGAUAAAACAGACCAGGUCAGAACUAUGAAUCAAGGCAAACACGGCCGUUAUGUGUUGGUGGAGGCUUCCAAACAGCAAGACUACAUCAGUGUAAAUACAUUUGCACCCACCACUGACACAUCAGAACACACAGGCAAACAUUAGGAGACUGAAAGAUAUGUUAAAUCUAGUGCAAAGACAAUAAAGGGACUAGUCCAGAGUCACGCAGACAGAAAUGUCAGCAAGGAAAUAAAGGGUUCUUAAAAGAGCUAUUCACAUGUUUUUAAACCAAUCCUAAAGCUAAAUAUAAUGAAGUUUGCAAGAAAUAUGCUUCUUCCAAAAAUGUGCUCCACCUUCAACUUGAGAAUUGUUCUCUUAGCAUUAAAACAAAUAAUGGUGCUCUUGAAAUAUUGAGAACAUUCAGAGAUACUCUGUUUUAAUGGAGUUUGCCUUCGUGGCCCGAAGUGCUCUUUUUUUCUUUUUUCCUCCCCAAAACAUAUUUAUUCUCUGGCAGCAUCAGAGGAUUUAGCAAACUGAACGCACUGUUUUAACUUAACCCUGCCUUGUCCUCAUCUAGCUCAUCAUUAAUUUUAGUAACUUAUAAGCAAGACAAAUCUCACACUUCACAAAAACCAUGGAGCCCAUUCAUUUCAAGGAGCCAGUGUUGCCACCAUGCCCUCUGUCACUGGGGAGGAUGGGGUAUGUUAACACUUAGGUCUCCUACCUGGGGGAGCAGAACAUGUGGAGGCUGUGGAGCAUGCACUUUACAUUCCCUGAAGUCUCUGUCACAUGUUGUAGUAGCUCUGAUUGUAAAUCAAUUCCAUUUCUAGCAUUAUAAGAAGGCUCCUGUUGUUUAAAUCCAUGAAGGCUGCCCUAUGGCCUUUCCACAAUAUCAUAAACAGUUGUGGUCUAAACCAGCCAAACAUCUCUGCUAAGCCUAGAGAUCCAUUCAGGGAAGAAUUGAAUAGGAAAGCCAUAUAUUUCUUUAUUAUUCAUGGUUAGUAUUUAUUUUUAAUUCCUUUACACUAAAUUUAAAUAUCACAUUAAACAGAGAACUGUACAUGUAAAUGGGUGAUGUGGUGUUGGACAGAGUGUAUGCUGUGUAAUGCAUGGGUAGGUUUAAAGACAUCUAUCUCCUCAAAUACUUAUCAUUUCUCCAGGAUAAUAAGUUUAAGAGAACUUUCUUCUAACUUCUUGAAAGGAUUACUCCUACAUACAGUCCCUGCUUUACAUUAGUCCACUCCAGAACUCUGUUACCUAUGAUGAAGCACCCUUGACUAACCUAUGCCCAGCCUUCCUUUGGUACUGCCCUCCUGCCUCUGAUAAAUAUCACUCUAUUCUCAACUGAUAGUAUUACAUUCUAGAGAUGUAACUGUCUCAUGCAGAGCAAAAAAGUAUAAUCUAGCCUAGCUUGUAAUAGCUGCUCUCAAAAAGGGAACCCAAUGCAAAGGAGGACUGACCUGUUUAUAGAGAUACAAAGAACCUGAAGAAUGGAAUGUUGAUGACAUUGUUGAACCAUUGGAAUUUCAAGUUACAUGAACAAUGGUUGCAUCCUGUAUCACUUAAUAUCAAAACCACUUGAUGUGGUUACACCAUUUGGUUUGUAAUUAAGUUAUUCACACAAGAUUAUUGUAUAAAAAAUGUCCCAUGAUUCUAAAAAUUAAAUGACCUUGGACCUCCCUGCAGCUGGAAAGCUUCCACUCUUGUGAGCUAAAUUAUUUUAUUGAUGUAAAAGUUGACUUGCUUAAUUCAGCUUAAACUGUUGGCUUGUGUUUGUGAAGAAUCCUGUUUAACUAUGAGCCAGAUUCCCCUUGAAGGAGACCCAGGGUCCACAAAGGUUGGGGAGCUGAAUCAGGCUAGAGUUGUUGUCUGCUGAACCUGCGUUCUGAGGGUGUGGAUGUGGAUGGUGUUAGAAUAAACUUUGGAGUCAGCUCUCUCCUUCUAUUGUGUGGUUCCCAGGAAUCAAACUCAGGUCAUCAGGACUUAUAAGCCUCAUCCUGAUGAAAAAAUUAAAUGCAGUUCUUUACCUUUAAAAAUAAAGAUACAUGCAAACUUUCAAUUGCUGAAAUUUUAGUUAUUCUACACAAUUCAGUAAAUACUGCUAACACUGUACUUAAUCAUUAAAGUAGACAUUUAAGGAGUGCAUAAGAGGUAUAUGCUUAUCACAGUUACUCAACAUUGUAUCAUGGUAUAAACUAAAAUAAUAAGAUAAACCAUAGUAUUUAACAAGCAUGUAUUACAAAGCUUUUCACAUACAUGUAAAAUUUAAAGAAGUAUUUUUCCUCAAAUCCCAUGAUUUAUCUUUUUAAUUCAUGUUUCAUUUAAUACUCAUACAUGCAUUUAAUGUGUUUUAAUCAAAUCCACCCAAUUAUUUCCCUACAAUUCCAUUCAUAUGCCCCUACCACUUUUCUCUCCCAACUUCAUAUGCUAGUUUCUAAUUAUUUAAUAUCUACUGAGUUCCAUUUAAUUCUGCCUAUACAUUCAUGAGUAUGGACCUGUCUAUGGGAGCAUGACUCCUCUUGGGUUAAGGAACCCUGUAGAAAAUACAAUAAUUUCCCUCUUCUCAUAGACAUAAGUCAUGUGUAUCUUCUUAGAUGGAGUGAGACUCAUGAGUCCCUCCGCAUGAUCCAUGUUGGGAUAUUUGUAGCUUGAUCUUGUACAGGCUUUGUGUUUGUGGUCAGAGUCACUGUGAGCUCAUAUUGCAAUGAUGCUUUAACACCUGGCAAAUACUAUUUCAGGGCAGGUGUCCACUUCUGAAUCUGUCAGCAUUCCUGCCCCUUCCCUCUUCAGUGAUGCCAGAGACUUGGAUUGAGUGUGUGAUAAAGAUGUCCCAUUUAGAACCAAACAUUCCAUAUUCUUUUAUUCUCUGCAAGAUGACCAUUUUGAUCUCUUUAUUAAUCACCUUCUAUUGCAGAAAGAAACUUAUCUAGUAAGGGCUGAUGAUUCACUGGUUUAUGGGCAUAAAGAUAAGAACUCUGAGUACAGAUCAAUAUUAUGACCAUUUAGCAGAAUAAUAUGAUGCAGUUCUCUGGUAGGGCCUAUGACCUAGCCAGCCAGGAUUUUUUUGUUUGUUUGGCCAAGUUAACAUUAGAUGGCAUGAAUUCUUUCAUGCAGAGAGAUCUUUAAAUCCAGUCAAAAGUGGUUGGGUUUUCCCAUAGUAUUAUGUUACUAUUGCAUCAUUGGACCUACCUUACCAGACCAUAGGUUAUCUUUGCUAGCAGGUUCACAGUUGAGAAGACUGUUACUGGCUUCUCUUCCCUGGUAGUGUUCACAGAACAUUCUGGCACUGUGGGUUUUAUCCAAUAAGAAGGAAACUACCAUCUUGAUUUUUCCUGGUCUUAUGUCUGAGCCUUUUGGACUGCAUCAGAGUCUAGAAGGUAACCAAAAGCAACAGCAAUAGGUUGUAAUGUUUUAGGGCAUCUGCAGGACCCCAUUGACCAACAACCCACACCUACUGCUAUUUUUUUAUCUGAAAGUCUGUGGUAUCUAGGAGAGGAAUUGUUGCCUCACUAUAGAGUAACUCUAAUUACAUUCCUUAAUAUAUGACUGUGUAUAUAUUUUGAGAACCUUCUACAAUUUGCAAAGUUCCUUAGUUAUCACUCCUCAUCGUCUCUUCUAGCCAGCUCCCAUCUCCCAUCCUGUUUAACUUUUCUUGUCCUAUUAUUCUGCUUUCUCCAUUCAUACCAUUUGCAUUCUAUCCCUAUUACCAUGAAUCCACCUGCAUGACCCCUCAGUAGUUCCCUAUCCUCUAUCAGACUCUAAACAUACACAUGUCUGAAGAUCCAAAGGAAGAGUUCACUUAUGAGGCAGAACAUGUAGCAUUGGUCUUUCCAGGUCGAGCUCCACACUUGAAGUCAACUUAGUGUUCUACUCUAAUUUCUGUGCCACAUGUCUAGCAAUGCUCUUUAUCAUUAUAAUAUAUAUAAAGUUUGGUGGUGUGGGAUAAUUUUUUGUAUACUAUGAAGAUGAGUCUCUGUUUUACCUCACCUAAGAUGCCUUCUGAUUGGUUUAAUAAAGAGCUGAAUGGCUAAUAGUUAGGCAGGACAAGAUAGGCAGGGCUUCCAGGGAAAGAGAGGAGCUCAAAGGAAGAAUCUGAGAGGUGAGGAUUCUCCAGGGAGACGCAGGAAGUUGGACAUACUGUACUGAGGAGAAGUAUUGAGACAUAUGGCAGAAUGUAGAUUAAUAUAAAAGGGUUAAUUUAAUUUGUAAGAGCUAGUUGUGUAUAAGCCUAAACUAAGGCCAAGCUUUCAUACUUAGUAAUAAGUCUCUGUCUCAUUAUUUGGGAAGUGGUGAUCCAAAGAAAGUCCAAAUACAUUUGAUGUUCGACGUCAGGCACUUAGGGUCUAAAAACAGAUGGUAUACUGCUCAGCUGGAAACUAGGUAGAAAUGCCUGUUGUAGUUCUGCCCAACAACUUCCCAGAGCUGGGUGGGUAAGUACAGCUCCUGACCAGUGAUGUCAGGCAUAAAGCUGGGCUCUCACAGACCUGAGGGGUCAGAGACAGCAGCCAGCACCACGUUCUAAGUAAAGCCACAAAGGGAACCUGCAGACACACAGAAGGGCUUUGCAACAUUUUUGCAACAAUUUCCUGGAGCCGGGCAUGCAGAAAGCUAGGUCCAGAUGAGAAAAACUCUGAGCAGGUAUAGUAUGCUUAAAGAUGUGUUUAGGAACUGAAAAAAGAAAAGAAAAUGAGUAAAGUCUUUAAAAAGAGAGUAAAGUAAUAUAAAAAGGAAUGAGCCACAUGAAGAUGAGAAGUAUUCUACAGGAAGCUUGGAUCCUAUAUAAUGCAUUAUUAAUUUAAAAUGUUUAAAUGCUAAUGAACAAAAAAUGACAGCUGCUGAGAGACAUUGGAUUUGGAAAAAAAAAGCUACUAAUUUUAAUCAUCCAAUAUAUUUUAAGGAUGUCUUAACUUCAUAAUGAAAGUCAGGAAAUUAAUUGCAUUGGAGGAGAGGUAAUGCUUUUAUUUCCACAGGAAACAAAGAAUUAUGGACUCCCUCAGAAUUAUUAAAGGUCGGGUUUGACUAGGGGAGAACUCCUGAAAAUCUUGGAUGCAGACAUGAAGGAAGAGAAUCAAGAAGAAAAACUACAGGACAGGGUCUGCUAAAGAUGCUGUUAUCCCCAGACAACAGGAAGCAGUGUAGAGAAUGUGACAUCCACAUUCCCAAAAGUGAGACAUGUCUGCUCCUUGCUGCACCAAUCUACUUCAAAGAAGAGGAUAACAUCAAAGAACCCCCAUAUGGAGUCUGCUUUCAAUGUGGCAAAGCUAGCUACUGGGCAAGACACUGCCCUUGCCUUUACUGGUGACAGUAUGUUCUCCAAACUGGACAAUCUGUACACAAAUGAAGUUGACUGCUUAUAUUUGCCAAGACAAGGUAGGCAAGUCCUUCAAAACUCCUGCUAAACAGAAAAGUCUGCCAAAUAUUCUAGACUUGCAGGUCAAAGACAAGAUGGAUGCUCAAACAUUGCAGAGGAACCUUGGGUGACUGUCCAGGCAGCCUGCUGUCUUUAUCAUUUCUCACAGUUUUGGGAGUUGCUUGUUCACACUUCCCAUUUAUUCAGGUAACAUUUUAUCCUUCUCAGACCUCUGAUAGGGGUGAGCACUCAAUUAGUUAUAGUUUUACAGUUUUUCUUGUUACCAAAUUUAGAAAAGAAACUUACAAAAGAGAUACAAAGUUUAAAAGGUUGAGAGACAUAAAAACUUAAGUUGUGUUGCUAGAGUUUUCCUGCCUUGCCCACAGUCAGGACAAAUCUCUCUCACCUGCCAGUCCCACAGCCGCUCAGACCCAACCAAGUAAACACAGAGACUUAUAUUGCUUACAAACUGUAUGGCUGUGGCAGGCUUCUUGCUAACUGUUCUUACAGCUUAAAUUAAUCCAUUUCCAUAAAUCUAUACCUUGCCAUGUGGCUUGUGGCUUACUGGCAUCUUCACAUGCUGCUUGUCAUGGCAGUGACUGGCAGUGACUCCUUCUGCCUUCCUGUUCUUUCUUUUCUCCUCUCUGUUAGUCCCGCCUAUACUUCCUGCCUAGCCACUGGUCAAUCAGUGUUUUAUUUAUUGACCAAUCAGAGCAAUUUGACAUACAGACCAUCCCACAGCAAAGUUGUUUACCUAAGAAAAUACUUUAAAAUCUAAAAAGAUGUUUUUAGGUUGGUAAUAUAAGUUACAUUAGAAAGUGGUUUUGAUAAAAACUUUGGACUCACCAAGAAAGGCUAGAUAAUAGAGCAAUUUCUCUGAAGUUGCCAAAUACAAAUGGACUGGAUAUGUGAAUGUGAUUUUUACCUGAUAAUUGUUCUUAUUAUGUAUAAGUUUACUGUGUUAGAGUUAAAAAUCUUUCCUUUUUAUUUAGACAAAAAUGGAGAAAUGUUGUAGGAUAAUCUUUUUGUAUACCUUGAAGAUGUGUCUCAGUUUUACCUCACCUGUCUAAGGCACCUUCCAAUUGCUUUAAUAAAGAGCUGAAUGGUCAAUAGCUAGGCAGCAGAAGAUAGAUGGGACUUCUGGCAAAAGAGAGGAACUCAGGAAGAACCUGAGAGGCAACGAUUUGCCAGUAAGACACGGAGGAAGUAAGAUCUACUGUUCUGGGGAGAGGUAACAAGCCACAUAGUAGAACAUAGAUUAAUAUAAACAGGUUAAUUUAAGCUUAAGAGCUAGUUGGGAACAAGCCUAAGCUAAGGCCAAGAUUUUAUAUUUAAUAAGUCUCUGUGUCAUUAUUUGGGAGUUGGUGGUCCAAAGAAAUUCCAACUAGAGUUUGGUUGAUUUUGUUUAAAUUAGCAUCAUUUAGAUGUCUAUAGCUUUUCUUUUACAAAAAUUUUGAAAUAUCAAUUUCAUUUUUUAAAAUCAAUUUAGUAAAUUUUUAAUAUCAAUUUUUAUA